rnacentral:rRNA from 1 species
GACGAACGCUGGCGGCGUGCUUAACACAUGCAAGUCGAACGGAAAGGCCCUGCUUUUGUGGGGUGCUCGGGUGGCGAACGGGUGAGUAACACGUGAGUAACCUGCCCUUGACUUUGGGAUAACUUCAGGAAACUGGGGCUAAUACCGGAUAGGAGCUCCUGCUGCAUGGUGGGGGUUGGAAAGUUUCGGCGGUUGUGGAUGGACUCGCGGCUUAUCAGCUUGUUGGUGGGGUAGUGGUUUACCAAGGCUUUGACGGGUAGCCGGCCUGAGAGGGUGACCGGCCACAUGGGGACUGAGAUACGCCCCAGACUCCUACGGGAGGCAGAAGUGGGGAAUAUUGCACAAUGGGCGGAAGCCUGAUGCAGCAACGCCGCGUGCGGGAUGACGGCCUUCGGGUUGUAAACCGCUUUCGCCUGUGACGAAGCGUGAGUGACGGUAAUGGGUAAAGAAGCACCGGCUAACUACGUG